CCGCCUACGGGGGGCAGCAGUGGGGAAUAUUGGGCAAUGGGCGCAAGCCUGACCCAGCAACGCCGCGUGAAGGAAGAAGGCUUUCGGGUUGUAAACUUCUUUUAAGAGGGACGAAGGAAGUGACGGUACCUCUUGAAUAAGCCACGGCUAACUACGUGCCAGCAGCCGCGGUAAUACGUAGGUGGCAAGCGUUAUCCGGAUUUAUUGGGUGUAAAGGGCGUGUAGGCGGGAGCGCAAGUCAGAUGUGAAAACUCAGGGCUCAACCCUGAGCCUGCAUUUGAAACUGUGUUUCU
rnacentral:rRNA from 1 species